UUCUUCCUACGGGGGGCAGCAGUGGGGGAUAUCGCACAAUGGGGGAAACCCUGAUGCAGCGACGCCGCGUGAGCGAUGAAGUAUUUCGGUAUGUAAAGCCCUAUCGGCAGGGAAGAAGGAGGACGGUACCUGACUAAGAAGCCCCGGCUAACUACGUGCCAGCAGCCGCGGUAAUACGUAGGGGGCAAGCGUUAUCCGGAUUUACUGGGUGUAAAGGGGGCGCAGACGGCAGCGCAAGCCAGGAGUGAAAGCCCGGGGCCCAACCCCGGGACUGCUCUUGGAACUGCGCGGCUGGGGGGCAGGAG
rnacentral:rRNA from 1 species